AGUGGGGAAUAUUGGGCAAUGGGCGAAAGCCUGACCCAGCGACGCCGCGUGAGGGACGAAGGCCUUCGGGUUGUAAACCUCUUUCAGCAGGGAAGAAGCGAAAGUGACGGUACCUGCAGAAGAAGCACCGGCUAACUACGUGCCAGCAGCCGCGGUAAUACGUAGGGUGCAAGCGUUGUCCGGAAUUAUUGGGCGUAAAGAGCUCGUAGGUGGUUUGCCACGUCGGAUGUGAAAACCUGAGGCUUAACCUCAGGCCUGCAUUCGAUACGGGCAGACUAGAGUGUGGUAGGGGAGACUGGAAUUCCUGGUGUAGCGGUGAAAUGCGCAGAUAUCAGGAGGAACACCGAUGGCGAAGGCAGGUCUCUGGGCCAUAACUGACACUGAGGAGCGAAAGCGUGGGGAGCAAA
rnacentral:rRNA from 1 species